CGGCUCCGCCAGAGAACAGCUGAUUGCCAAAGUAUGCCACACAAGUGGCGUCUCCCUCGUGCGGCUCAGAGGAGAUGUGUUCGAUGCGCGCGUUGGGCAUCUGGCGAGAGAUUCACGGCACAACUGACCAGCAUAUGCCAAUUUAAUUCAGGAAGUUGGUGAAAAAAGAUGCGCAAGCCAAACAGCUGUGUUGUUAUUAAGCUAAGCAGUUUUUGGCAGCUGUGGCGCGAAAAAAUACACGAAGCAACUCAUCAUCAGCUUUGAGGAGUGGAAAAGGAAGGAAGAAGAAAAAAACAAAACAUUGCUCAAUUUAAACGUCGGCCAAAAGUAUGAAACGAUAAUAAGUAUAAUAAAGACUGCCAAAAGUUUCAAAAACAAAAUAUACAAAAAAUAUGUCGGCCAAAAAUAAAGAAAGAACAAAGGAAAUGUCUGACAGGAAAUUCAUGUUGAUGAAAAAUGUUUUUCAUGCGCGCUGCCAUUCACUGUGAAUCCUUAGUGAGUGUAUGUGAAUAUAUAAGUGUUUGUGUGUGUGUGUGUUCGUUCGUGUACGUGAGCAUGUGCGUAUGUGGUGUCAUUGUGUGUGUGUGCCCAUAGGUUCAGGGGCAUAUUCAUGACUUGGCCAAAAAUGAAAUAGGC